ACAGGUUGGGUUGCACCUCUCACAGAACUCGAAAAAAGCACCCAUCUACUUAAGGUACAUCAUUUAUUUGAUGGGGUAUUUUGUGCUCCAUGUUUCGCCUUUAAUGCGGCUGAAAAUGUGGUUGUUGCUCGUCCUUUGAUUGACUGGAGCAACGCAAGAUAAGUCGUUAAUCGGCACACAAACUCAAAAGAACACAUGAAUUCCAUCACAAGAGCCGGCCAUAUUUUUUGUGGGCAACAAAAUAUAUCUAUGAGUAAGUCCGUUACUUUCUCAUCACCGCCUGAGGAGACCUAUAGAGUGAUCAUUAGACCAUUUCAUAUCUCGUUGUAUCUGGUAAUUUCCCUACUUUCUUACGAUGGAAUAGAAGUGUUCUCAGAGUAUAAUUUUUCUUGUGCAUUUAGAAAAAUUAUAUACACUUGGAUAAAUAAGACUGAAGGCUUAAGAGAAAAGCCGUUCUUACCAAACUGAUUUGACGAGAAAUGCUAAAAAAACUUGUUAUCUGAUAAAUGCGUUUUACAUUUGAACGGGCAUUCAUACAUAAACCAAUUUCAUGAUCUGCAUCCUUAAUUAAACUUCACAUCGAAAAAUGUUUGUGUAUGUUUAUAUGCACGUGUAAAAUAAGAAAACUACAAGGCGUACACUGCCUUUUUCUUUACAAAUCUGUACAAAGUUAUAAUGAAAUAAGUUAGAAAGUAAAACAAGCAGCUAUAUGUUUAUCAAUUUAUGGGGAAAAAUGACUUGAAAAUGCUUCAUGCUUUACGUGCAAAAGGUGCUUCAAGACCUGCCAGAGCCCACGAUUUAACAUAUAAGUUUUCAAAAUUUUCCGGGGGAGACCCCCCUACCCCCAUCAGCGGGAGGGGGACACCCCCUCCCGCACGCUCCCCCUCUCGGCACUUCGUGCCUCGCUUUGCGUAUAUUUUUUCAAGCCCUAGCUACGCACCUGAACACUAACACUGAUUAGUGUCCAGCUUUAUUUGUCAUCCACUGAAAACGCUGUAUUUCUUAAAAAUUAUGUGUGUUAAUUUUCAUAGAAGAAAAAAAGUCAUAGUUCUUCAUAGUACCGCGUAGUGACGUAAUUAAGGGCCAAAUAAAGCUUGACACUAAUCAGUGUUAGUGGCCAAACUUUAUUUGUCAUCCAAUGAAAACGCUGUAUUUUUGUGCGUUAAUUUUCAUAGAAGAACAAAAGUCGAUACUAUAUCGAAUUCGUCCAUAGCCGACUUCCAUUUUUCAUAGUACUUCAUAAAACCGCAUUGUGACGUAAUAAAGUGACUGAUAAUGAGGCCAAAUAAAGCUUGACACUAAAUAUGUUAGUUUUCAUCCGUGCUGUUCUACAGAAAUUAGAAACAUUCUCCUGUCGCUAUCGCUCCCGUCGAAGUUUCUAGUUUCUGUAGAACAUCACGGAUGAACACUAACAUAUACAUAGCUACAUAUGCAUAGAGGAUAUUUAAUUGUUUUGCAUGUAAGUUUGAAAUAUAUUUCACUGAGUUAACACCAGAUGCAAUAUUUUCACUAGUAUAGUAGACAAGAGUAAAAAUAUAAAGGCUGUUGUCCACAAAUGAAAUGUUGUUCAAUCUUAUUUCUAAAACAAAUAUUUUUUUUUCUUUUUAUUUCAUGCUUUAUAAGUGAUUUUGAGUAUUUUAUACUGAUUUGCCGCGUAACGUUUCACAUUCUCCUAUAUGACGUCACCACAUCAUGACGUUACAUCAUCAAUUUUUAAAAAAAGUUAGUUAUCUAUCACCCCUGCCGAUUUUGCGACUCCGUAAGUAAUAGUUAUAGUUCAGAUUUUAAAAAAUAUGGAAUUUAUUGCAAGCGUAGCGUAGCGGAGCGCAGCAAUUAGUUCUAUAUUUUUUAAAAUAUGAACUAUAACUGGCUUACCGUUUGACCCACUUUCGUGGAAUAAGUCACGUACGAAGUGUCGGUACAGCGUUUGAUGUAAUACGAGUCCUGCCCUAACUAGUAUAGAUUGGUCGUAGUGUUUUGACCUGUCAAUUAAAGCAUUGCAUUUUUAUGUAUUUUUAUAUCAUUAGUCAUCAUGUAACAAUCCUGCGAUCAGGCUGUGUUUGACAUGAAUAUAGCAAGAAUCAUGUUUUUGAACCAUUUCAUGUCGAAUGUGCUGAUGUGGUCACGCAGUUGCUUGAUAUUGAUACGCAGGUUUUAUAUGCAGACACAAGCAAAAAGAGGCAAAAGCUCAGGCCGAUUUGAAAAGCUUUUGACAUCUGAUGACAUUAAGAAAGACCAGAAAUACAGUGUCCUAUAAUACAACGAAAAACAACUGGGCAGUGCGCGUCUGGAGGGAGUUGGCUGAAAACCGCAACCUACAACCGGAGACUAAGCAAGAGCCUGGUUAUCCUAUUCCCGUUCAAAUAGAGCAGUUCCGUUCAUGUGCAGAAAUGGAUUUUUGGUUACAACGAUUCAUCAGGAAAAAUGAUGUAUUUUAUCCUCCAACAACUUUACUAAACAUUGCUGCAAGGCUACAACGGUAUCUUCGAAAUGAAAAAUCCAUGCACGUGAACUUUGUUAAAACUGAAGAUCUUUUUUUCUGAACUUCGCAGAAUAUUGGAUCCAUGCAUGCGCGAGUUGACUAACGAGGGUAUAGGGGUCGAAGUCAACUGUUAAAAAAGUGGAGAUUUUAACAAAAUGUGGAAAAAAAAUGUCUUGGAAUUAUGAAAAAUGGAUAUUCUGUAUGAUCUUUUAAAGAUAUGUGUUAGUUUCGAACUUUGAGAUUUCUCUCGCUCUAUGUCUAUUAUUUUCAGUUAUCAGCCACAAACUGUUUUCUAAUGUUUGAAUUAUAACCAUGACGGUAUAGGGAAUGUACUGUUUCAAUCAUUUUUAUACAUGUAAAAGCUUGGAUUUAUAAAUAACCGUAUGAAAUC